ensembl:lincRNA
CCACCCGGGAGCCGACAGAAUGCACCUUAGAAGAAAACAGUUCACUUCAAAUGCUUUGCCUCAGCAAACUCAGUUUGGGGUUGCAUCUUUCACUUUUCCAAGAACCCUGGCCCCGGGGUGUCCUCCAGUUGCUGAUUCUUCGGAGUUCCUGAACACACCAGUUUGCGUAGUAAUGACCUUUGCUUACUGCUACUGUUGGGGGCUGGCAUCGCUCACCAGGGAAGCUGAGGGACGCCCGAAUCUUGGGGUGAAUUCCAGGUGUGUCAAAAUUCGGACCUGUGGCCAAGUGGCCGACUUCAUCUCCUCUUCUCCUUCAUCUCCUGUCUCUCCCAGCCUUGAGGUUUUGAGAGGCGAUUUCAUUCUCCCGAACUCUCGAAGAGUGCUGCAGAGUGCGGGUCGGAAAACUAAGGAGAGUGAAGUUGGCAGAACUUCCGGAAGUGCAGGGCCAGUGCCUGCACUUUCUGCUGGCGCGGGAGCCAGAGUCUGGUCCCGAGCCUUUGAUCCCUCUAGCCAUAGGUCCAAGUUCUCUGCACGUAAGUUUUGCUCAAAGUUAAAUGCCUGGACCCUGAACCCUGAAAUUCCUGGCGGGGUAUUGCAGGACAGAGAGGAGUUGUAAGCUGAGCGGAGUUCUGGACCCCGAGUGGCAGAGUGCACCCAGGCAGCCAGGAAGCCGCCCCCGCGCUCCGCCAGCGAUCCUGCAGUCUCGGGGUGCUGGAAUCCACCAGAGUGGAAAGUCAUCUCUUGGCAGUAACCCUUUUCCCGAACUCAGUCUUCCUGAUGGAGUUUGAGGUCAAAACAAAAUUCUCUUCCCAAAGCUUAUAAUGAUCGAGGAUGAGUGCAAAAGUGGGGACUUAUCUAAGACGUGCCACUGAUGUUUUAAAACAAAAGAGGUUCCAGAGGAGGCAGCAAUGCCUCAGUUGGGACAAGGUGAGGACCUGUGUCUGAGUUUCUGAGAGUGUGGGGGCCCACUCCAUCCCCAAGUGAUUCUUCACCGAAGUUUCUCCUAGUGCAAUAUUCAAAUCCUGUGUAAUAGCACCUAAUUUAUUACCUAUGUAUUCUGCUUGUUUGUAUCUGAUUUAUGAACUAAAACCAUUUGGUUAUUAACAAAUUUAUCAAUUCAAAAAAUAUUUCCAUUUUUUAAAGUAAUCUUCCCUGUAAUGUUGAAGUAUCUUCUUGAAUUUAACACUUCAUAAAAACUGGCUUCCAAAAUAUUUUGAAAAAUUAAAUAUGUAUUUUUACACAACUGAGUUAGAAAUAGGUGACAUUUUAAAAUAUAUAUAUUAAGAAUAUGCUAAAGAGGUUUUUCUGGUUUGAUGAUUAAUAUAGAUAAGCAUUUCUGAAUUCAAUCUCUCUAUUUAUUUCAUAAUGUCCUAGUAUAAUGGGAUACAAAUCAGAAUAGAUAUUGACAAGCCAUGUACCCUUCUGAAAGUUAAAUUUGUCCUUUAAAUUUCUAUUUGUCAUGCAGAAGUUCCAAAGUUUAGUAUAAAUAUGAACAUUCAUACAACAUAAUAUGUUCUUACUCUGUUACUAAAGUUGUCCAGGGAAUCUUAAGGUUUUUUUCUCUUUCAUAGAUCUCAGUUUUGUAAGUUUAAGAACUUGAACAAAGUAUUCUACAGUUCAAAAGUUGUAGACUUUUUGGAACAUUUUAUUUCAGUGUAUUUUGCAGUUACAUAAAAUUAAAAGGUAAUACUAAUAUAAAGACUUUCUUAUUAUUUUAUGUAAUUAGCAUCAAUAAUAUUCUAUGCUUUAGCCUUCUACAAUGAUUCCCUAAUCAGAUCCAUCAUCCCUAACAGAUUUUGAGUUAAUA